rnacentral:rRNA from 1 species
AGAGUUUGAUCAUGGCUCAGAUUGAACGCUGGCGGCAGGCCUAACACAUGCAAGUCGAGCGGUAGCACAGAGAGCUUGCUCUCGGGUGACGAGCGGCGGACGGGUGAGUAAUGUCUGGGAAACUGCCUGAUGGAGGGGGAUAACUACUGGAAACGGUAGCUAAUACCGCAUAAUGUCGCAAGACCAAAGUGGGGGACCUUCGGGCCUCAUGCCAUCAGAUGUGCCCAGAUGGGAUUAGCUAGUAGGUGGGGUAACGGCUCACCUAGGCGACGAUCCCUAGCUGGUCUGAGAGGAUGACCAGCCACACUGGAACUGAGACACGGUCCAGACUCCUACGGGAGGCAGCAGUGGGGAAUAUUGCACAAUGGGCGCAAGCCUGAUGCAGCCAUGCCGCGUGUGUGAAGAAGGCCUUCGGGUUGUAAAGCACUUUCAGCGGGGAGGAAGGCGUUAAGGUUAAUAACCUUGGCGAUUGACGUUACCCGCAGAAGAAGCACCGGCUAACUCCGUGCCAGCAGCCGCGGUAAUACGGAGGGUGCAAGCGUUAAUCGGAAUUACUGGGCGUAAAGCGCACGCAGGCGGUCUGUCAAGUCGGAUGUGAAAUCCCCGGGCUCAACCUGGGAACUGCAUUCGAAACUGGCAGGCUAGAGUCUUGUAGAGGGGGGUAGAAUUCCAGGUGUAGCGGUGAAAUGCGUAGAGAUCUGGAGGAAUACCGGUGGCGAAGGCGGCCCCCUGGACAAAGACUGACGCUCAGGUGCGAAAGCGUGGGGAGCAAACAGGAUUAGAUACCCUGGUAGUCCACGCUGUAAACGAUGUCGAUUUGGAGGUUGUGCCCUUGAGGCGUGGCUUCCGGAGCUAACGCGUUAAAUCGACCGCCUGGGGAGUACGGCCGCAAGGUUAAAACUCAAAUGAAUUGACGGGGGCCCGCACAAGCGGUGGAGCAUGUGGUUUAAUUCGAUGCAACGCGAAGAACCUUACCUGGUCUUGACAUCCACAGAACUUUCCAGAGAUGGAUUGGUGCCUUCGGGAACUGUGAGACAGGUGCUGCAUGGCUGUCGUCAGCUCGUGUUGUGAAAUGUUGGGUUAAGUCCCGCAACGAGCGCAACCCUUAUCCUUUGUUGCCAGCGGU